rnacentral:rRNA from 1 species
AGCAUGUGGUUUAAUUCGAAGCAACGCGAAGAACCUUACCAGGCCUUGACAUGCAGAGAACUUUCCAGAGAUGGAUUGGUGCCUUCGGGAACUCUGACACAGGUGCUGCAUGGCUGUCGUCAGCUCGUGUCGUGAGAUGUUGGGUUAAGUCCCGUAACGAGCGCAACCCUUGUCCUUUAGUUACCAGCACGUUAUGGUGGGCACUCUAAGGAGACUGCCGGUGACAAACCGGAGGAAGGUGGGGAUGACGUCAAGUCCUCAUGGCCCUUACGCGCUGGGCUACACACGUGCUACAAUGGCAAGUACAGUGGGCAGCAAUCCCGCGAGGGUGAGCUAAUCUCCAAAACUUGUCUCAGUUCGGAUUGUUCUCUGCAACUCGAGAGCAUGAAGGCGGAAUCGCUAGUAAUCGCGGAUCAGCAUGCCGCGGUGAAUACGUUCCCAGGCCUU